GAUGAAGAACGUAGCGAAAUGCGAUACUUGGUGUGAAUUGCAGGAUCCCGUGAACCAUCGAGUCUUUGAACGCAAGUUGCGCCCGAAGCCAUUAGGCCGAGGGCACGCCUGCCUGGGCGUCACACGUCGUUGCCCCCCCAUCUACUCCUUCGGGAUUGCGGGGGGCGGAUGAUGGCCUCUCGUGCGCCUCGUCGCGCGGUUGGCCUAAAUGCCAAGUCCUCGGCGACGCACGCCACGACAAUCGGUGGUUGCGAAACCUCGGUUGCCUGUCGUGUGCGGUCGUCGCGCAUCGAGGGCUCGAAAAAAUUGCCGGGCUUCGGCUCGACUUUCAACGCGACCCCAGGUCAGGCGGGGUUACCCGCUGAAUUUAAGCAUAUCAAUAAGCGGAGGA
rnacentral:misc_RNA from 1 species